rnacentral:rRNA from 1 species
UACAGAGGGUGCGAGCGUUAAUCGGAAUUACUGGGCGUAAAGCGCGCGUAGGCGGUUUUGUAAGUCGGGUGUGAAAUCCCCAGGCUCAACCUGGGAACUGCAUUCGAGACUGCAUAGCUAGAGUAUGGGAGAGGGAAGUGGAAUUUCAGGUGUAGCGGUGAAGUGCGUAGAUAUCUGAAGGAACAUCAGUGGCGAGAGCGACUUCCUGGACCAAUACUGACGCUCAUGUGUGAAAGCGUGGGGAGCAAACAGG